UUCCUCCCAAUAACAAAACCGGUAUCAAUGACUGCCAACCUUAUCCCUAAGAACUGCAGUGUCAGGAGUUGAGCACAAAAAUAUGAGCAUCUUCCACCGGCUAUGAUCCAUUCUAUGCAAAAAAAUAAGCAACACAGCUCCCUACUAAUAGCUCAAUCAGGGUCUGAAAGUUCAGCUGGUACCAAACGAAUUUUUGACCAGAUUUUUCCAAAAUGCAUCAAAAGUG
rnacentral:lncRNA from 1 species